GAUGAACGCUGGCGGCGUGCUUAACACAUGCAAGUCGAACGAUGAAKCCGGAGCUUGCUCUGGUGGAUUAGUGGCGAACGGGUGAGUAACACGUGAGUAACCUGCCCUUGACUCUGGGAUAAGCGUUGGAAACGACGUCUAAUACCGGAUACGACCCUCGGAGGCAUCUCCUGGGGGUGGAAAGAAUUUCGGUCAAGGAUGGACUCGCGGCCUAUCAGGUAGUUGGUGAGGUAACGGCUCACCAAGCCRACGACGGGUAGCCGGCCUGAGAGGGUGACCGGCCACACUGGGACUGAGACACGGCCCAGACUCCUACGGGAGGCAGCAGUGGGGAAUAUUGCACAAUGGGCGCAAGCCUGAUGCAGCAACGCCGCGUGAGGGACGACGGCCUUCGGGUUGUAAACCUCUUUUAGUAGGGAAGAAGCGAAAGUG
rnacentral:rRNA from 1 species